UUUAUUUUUUUGGUCAUGUUUCUGUCUUUUUUACCAACUUGAUUCCUUCCAGCUUCAUAUUCAUUAUAACAUUCCAUAAAUGUCUACUGCAGCCAUUUGUUGAGCGAGAGAGAUGAGGAAAGUCACCAUAAUAUCAGUCUUUUUCCUUGUGUACAUGAGACAGGUGGGGGGUUGAAGAGGUGGGAGGGAGCUUAAGCACUUGCAUCAAAAUCUUUAAACCAGCUGGUAAAAAAUAAUCAUCUUUGAAAGACACUGGAUGAAUAUUCCAUUAUAUAUUUUUUUUAAUUAAACUGUUUCAAAUGGGGGGUUUACACUUGGGCUUCUGAUACAAAUAAAAUGCUUAUGACCUCUAUGUUGGAGACAGUGUAAGGAAGGGUUCUUUGUGGAAGAACAUGAAAAUGAUCCUAAUGCUAGCAAUUGUUUUGAUUUUAUUGGCCUUAGACUUUACAUUAGAGGCAGAUCGAUUCUAUGAACAUGUUUACUUGUGAACACAGUAGACAAAAUUAAAACAUUUUGUAUUGUUAUAGAUAAAAGCUACUCUGUAUUCUUCCACAAUCAUAAUAUUGACUCGAGUCUUAGAAUUAAAACAUGCAUUAGUAUUCCUAAAAAAAGACGUUUGGAAGAGCAAGAAUUCAGGGCUUUUAAUGAAAUGAAAUAAAAUUCGGACGCUACAAAAAAAUCCAUGUGACCGUAAUCCUCUUCUGUAGGAUUAUCUCAGCAGGAUUUGUAAUUUUCGACAGCAUGUGAACGCAGCACAGUGGCAGAGCGGGAGGCGGAACACCCUACCCCUCCCACUCGUGCGCGUGCCCAUCGCUGAAGGGCGCGGGCACGCGAGGUGGCGGGGGGUUGCGCUCGCUCUUGCUCUCUCUGCUCUCUGACCCCAGUGGCUGCUCCGACACACUACACUCCGCGGCUCCCCCUCCGUCACAUCGACACUGCUCUACCCUCUCUCUCACUCCGUUGUCUGUCAGUGUCUCUCGCCCUGCUCUCUUCUUAGCUCUUUGCCCCCUCCUCGCUCUCUUGUCUGCUUUCUGUAUCCACAGGAGCCAGCCGAGGUCCCGCCGGGUCGAAGGUUCUGCCCUAUCCGCUCACACUGUAACAACCCUCGGGACGACCGCGGAGGAACAGACUUUCUCUCUCCGAGCCUUCGGCUCCUGCUCCUGCUGGUGCUGCUGCCGCAUGGACCCGCGUCGCUGCUCCUCCUCCUCUGUCGCCGUCGCUGGUGCUGCUGCUGCCGCCGUCACCGCGUAGAGGGCGACCCCGACCCGACACUCUUUUUAAAAAAAAAAAAAAAACCUCACAAAAACCCCACACGACCAAGGAGGUCGGGUAUAUAAAGCUUGUCAAGCUCACAGAGGCCACUCUACUAUCAGAGGAAGAGAUCAGACAGGAGGGAAGCUCAGGGUGCAGGGGGAUCAAACAUCCAAGACCCGGGGCAGAUACCACUGCAGUGUGUUGGUCGAGUCAAUUGCCCAGGUUGCUGCUGCUGCUGCAGCCGCUGCUGGAUUUGCCGGUCUUUUUGAGUGGAUCUGAAGGAUGUCUGCUGCACAUUGCACUACUGAAUCCCGGUGAAUGAACGGCGUCUCAUGUCCAAACGGCGGAAAGAUGGCUCAUGGCAAAGUGACCAUCACGGUGGACGAGUACAGCUCUAACCCAACGCAGGCGUUCACCCAUUACAACAUCAACCAGAGCCGCUUUCAACCUCCUCAUGUCCACAUGUAAGUGCACACAAUCCUACGUGCAAACAAACGCAUACACACACAAACUGUAUGGACUAUUUGCUGUUAGUCAUCCCAUAGCAGAAGGAAUAAAGAUUUGUUUUUGUGGUGAAGAUAGGGUAGCCCAUCAGGUGCCUGCUUGACGCAGCAGCUUUCUCUUCAAUCCUUAAUUUACUUUAAUUUUAGGAGAUGGUUUGGUGGACGUUGGUAGUACAAAAAAAAAAAUUAAAUUGAAUUAAAUGGAUUUAAACAAAAAUGUUUUUUAUAUCAACAAAAAAAAAUCUAAAAACAUAUUUUCAGUUAAGGCACAAACUCGCUCAGAUAUUUGAAGAUCUGAGGAGACUCUUCUCUGACUUGUCUUUUCCCUCUGUCAUGCUUCUGGUCACUGUGGUGGUUUUAUGAUACUCUAACCACUUGUGCCACAUUGUCAUUGUGGUGCACAGGCACUUUUGUCAUAUUACGGUGCUCUCUUCAUUUAUUUAUAAGACCAGUUGCUUAGCGUAGGUCCUGUCUGAUGUGGUUAUGUUCUGCCUCUCAUUAGUGGGUCAGAGCACUGUGACCCUUUAGCGUCUGACAUCAAAACACUGCACAGAACACUGUGUGUUUUAUCAGCGGGCAGGAUUUUAACAGAGGGCUGCCGUCUGCCGUCUCCACUUGUUGUUUUUAUCAGAUUUAGCAAAAACAUUGUGUCUAGUUUUAGUUGUGAGUCAGGCACAAUGUUUUUCUGUUGUUUUUGUAUUGAUUUGAAGUGCUGUGUAAAAUGGUAACCUGCAACGACCAGACCUCUGUAUGUCCUGUUUAGUUUUAGUAUUUUAUUUUAUUUAUUCCUCACUUGAAAGAUGACUUAAGAUGCAGAUAAAUUAUAAUACACUAGAGUGUAUUUUGUUAUAUAAUUAUUUAACCCUAGUUUAAAAUGUAUUUAGGAACGGAAAUACAGAAAUGCUGCCCUCGUGCUUAUGCAUGAACUAUUUGUCAGCAUUAAUCUGUUGACAUUAGGUUACAAUAAAAUGAUUAGUCGUUAAGAAGAAAAUAUGUGUUUGCUGUCCAGUAAAAAUUUGACCAAAUUGAGAUAAAUAAAAUUUGCAAACUAUAGUGUGUCUGUGUUCGAAGGCAAAAUGGAUGAAUAACAGAUUGUCAGGUCUAGCAGUUCUGACUAAAAAUGUAGAUGCACACAAAUUCAUAUCACCUCCUCACUGGUCGUCUAGCAGAUCCUGGA